GAUGAACGCUGGCGGCGUGCCUAACACAUGCAAGUCGAGCGGUAUAUAGUGGAAUGAAACUUCGGUCGAGUGAAGCUAUAGAGAGCGGCGGACGGGUGAGUAACGCGUAGGCAACCUGCCCCAUACAGAGGGAUAGCCUCGGGAAACCGGGAUUAAAACCUCAUAACGCGAGGAGUUCACAUGGACUUCUCGCCAAAGAUUCAUCGGUAUGGGAUGGGCCCGCGUCUGAUUAGCUAGUUGGUGAGGUAACGGCUCACCUAGGCGACGAUCCGUAACUGGUCUGAGAGGAUGAUCAGUCACACUGGAACUGAGACACGGUCCAGACUCCUACGGGAGGCAGCAGUGGGGAAUAUUGGACAAUGGGCGAAAGCCUGAUGCAGCAACGCCGCGUGAGCGAUGAAGG
rnacentral:rRNA from 1 species